rnacentral:rRNA from 1 species
GAUGAACGCUGGCGGCGUGCCUAAUACAUGCAAGUCGAGCGAACGUACGAGAAGCUUGCUUUUCUGAUGUUAGCGGCGGACGGGUGAGUAACACGUGGAUAACCUACCUAUAAGACUGGGAUAACUUCGGGAAACCGGAGCUAAUACCGGAUAAUAUUUUGAACCGCAUGGUUCAAAAGUGAAAGACGGUCUUGCUGUCACUUAUAGAUGGAUCCGCGCUGCAUUAGCUAGUUGGUAAGGUAACGGCUUACCAAGGCAACGAUGCAUAGCCGACCUGAGAGGGUGAUAGGCCACACUGGAACUGAGACACGGUCCAGACUCCUACGGGAGGCAGCAGUAGGGAAUCUUCCGCAAUGGGCGAAAGCCUGACGGAGCAACGCCGCGUGAGUGAUGAAGGUCUUCGGAUCGUAAAACUCUGUUAUUAGGGAAGAACAUAUGUGUAAGUAACUGUGCACAUCUUGACGGUACCUAAUCAGAAAGCCACGGCUAACUACGUG